CCUACGGGAGGCAGCAGUGGGGAAUAUUGGGCAAUGGGCGCAAGCCUGACCCAGCAACGCCGCGUGAAGGAAGAAGGCUUUCGGGUUGUAAACUUCUUUUCUCAGGGACGAAACAAAUGACGGUACCGAAGGAAUAAGCCACGGCUAACUACGUGCCAGCAGCCGCGGUAAUACGUAGGUGGCAAGCGUUAUCCGGAUUUACUGGGUGUAAAGGGCGUGUAGGCGGGACUGCAAGUCAGACGUGAAAUCCCCGGGCUCAACCUGUGACCUGCAUUUGAAACUGUAGUUCUUGAGUGCUGGAGAGGCAGACGGAAUUCCGAGUGUAGCGGUGAAAUGCAUAGAUAUCCGGCAGAACCCCAGUUGCGAAGGCGGCGUACCGGCCAGUCACUGACGCUGAGGCACGAAAGCGCGGGUAUCGAACAGGAUUAGAUACCCGGGUAGUC
rnacentral:rRNA from 1 species